rnacentral:snRNA from 1 species
CGAAAUCCGCUAAGGAGUGU